rnacentral:rRNA from 1 species
GAGGGAAACAACCCAGACCGCCAGCUAAGGUCCCAAAGUCAUGGUUAAGUGGGAAACGAUGUGGGAAGGCCCAGACAGCCAGGAUGUUGGCUUAGAAGCAGCCAUCAUUUAAAGAAAGCGUAAUAGCUCACUGGUCGAGUCGGCCUGCGCGGAAGAUGUAACGGGGCUAAACCAUGCACCGAAGCUGCGGCAGCGACGCUGAUGCGUUGUUGGGUAGGGGAGCGUUCUGUAAGCCUGUGAAGGUGUGUCGUGAGGCAUGCUGGAGGUAUCAGAAGUGCGAAUGCUGACAUAAGUAACGAUAAAGCGGGUGAAAAGCCCGCUCGCCGGAAGACCAAGGGUUCCUGUCCAACGUUAAUCGGGGCAGGGUGAGUCGACCCCUAAGGCGAGGCCGAAAGGCGUAGUCGAUGGGAAACGGGUUAAUAUUCCCGUACUUGGUGUUACUGCGAAGGGGGGACGGAGAAGGCUAUGUUGGCCGGGCGACGGUUGUCCCGGUUUAAGCGUGUAGGUGUGUGUUCCAGGUAAAUCCGGUUCACUUUAACACUGAGGCGUGACGACGAGGCACUACGGUGCUGAAGCAACAAAUGCCCUGCUUCCAGGAAAAGCCUCUAAGCAUCAGGUAACACGAAAUCGUACCCCAAACCGACACAGGUGGUCAGGUAGAGAAUACCAAGGCGCUUGAGAGAACUCGGGUGAAGGAACUAGGCAAAAUGGUGCCGUAACUUCGGGAGAAGGCACGCUGACACGUAGGUGAAGUGAUUUACUCAUGGAGCUGAAGUCAGUCGAAGAUACCAGCUGGCUGCAACUGUUUAUUAAAAACACAGCACUGUGCAAACACGAAAGUGGACGUAUACGGUGUGACGCCUGCCCGGUGCCGGAAGGUUAAUUGAUGGGGUCAGCGCAAGCGAAGCUCCUGAUCGAAGCCCCGGUAAACGGCGGCCGUAACUAUAACGGUCCUAAGGUAGCGAAAUUCCUUGUCGGGUAAGUUCCGACCUGCACGAAUGGCGUAAUGA